UAAGACGGAGGGUGCAAGCGUUGUUCGGAAUUACUGGGCGUAAAGCGCGUGUAGGCGGCUAGCUAAGUCUGAUGUGAAAGCCCGGGGCUCACCCCCGGAAGUGCAUUGGAAACUGGCGAGCUCGAGUCCCGGAGAGGAGGGUGGAAUUCCUGGUGUAGCGGUGAAAUGCGUAGAUAUCAGGAGGAACACCGGUGGCGAAGGCGGCCCUCUGGACGGUGACUGACGCUGAGACGCGAAAGCGUGGGGAGCAAACAGGAUUAGAUACCCUGGUAGUCCACGCUGUAAACGAUGAGCACUAGGUGUCGCGGGUAUUGACCCCUGCGGUGCCGUCGCUAACGCAUUAAGUGCUCCGCCUGGGGACUACGGCCGCAAGGCUA
rnacentral:rRNA from 1 species